AUUGAACGCUGGCGGCAGGCCUAACACAUGCAAGUCGGACGGUAGCACAGAGAGCUUGCUCUCGGGUGACGAGUGGCGGACGGGUGAGUAAUGUCUGGGGAUCUGCCCGAUAGAGGGGGAUAACCACUGGAAACGGUGGCUAAUACCGCAUAACGUCGCAAGACCAAAGAGGGGGACCUUCGGGCCUCUCACUAUCGGAUGAACCCAGAUGGGAUUAGCUAGUAGGCGGGGUAACGGCCCACCUAGGCGACGAUCCCUAGCUGGUCUGAGAGGAUGACCAGCCACACUGGAACUGGGACACGGUCCAGACUCCUACGGGAGGCAGCAGUGGGGAAUAUUGCACGAUGGGCGCAAGCCUGAUGCAGCCAUGCCGCGUGUAUGAAGAAGGCCUUCGGGUUGUAAAGUACUUUCAGCGGGGAGGAAGGCGAUGUGGUUAAUAACCGCAUUGAUUGACGUUACCCGCAGAAGAAGCACCGGCUAACUCCGUGCCAGCCGCCGCCGUAA
rnacentral:rRNA from 1 species